GAAGCAAGGCACAUGACCAGCACAGCUGAUGAAAGAGGAGGUUCACGUACAAAGUUCAGGCAGCCAAAGGUCCUGACGAACGGCCGCAGCAAGAAGCGGCCCUUACCCACGCUCCCACACCACAGCAGUGCUCCAGCCGGCAUCUUGGCGUGUUGAAACAAGGGACAGCGCAAAGAAUUCCCCAGCACAAAACACAACACUUCCGCAAGCCGCAGCACAUGUGCAGAUGAAUGUUAGAGAACCAAGAAGAAUCACUGAGGGCAUGAAUGAAGGGACAGAGGAGCUGGCUCUUCCUGGUCAAGGGGAAGGCACAGGUGGGGCCAGCCAGACCGCCUCCAUGGACCAGGGCGCUUGGGACCCAGUGGUGGCCCUCAGGGACCAGCUUGCAUUGCUGGGGAGAAGCAACCAGUGUAACAGCAGUGCCAUGGAAGAAGAUGUUGUGAAGAUACUGUCACUCUUCAUACAGGUUUCUCAGAGCGGCGGUGCUGGGGCCCAACUGGACCUUCGUGUCCUAGCUCAUCGAACGGCACAGAUUGUGGCAUCCAGUAUUCAACAGAAAGUGUUGGAAAAACCCGCAGAGGAAGCCCGCUGUGAGGUGGAGUUCUUCUUUGAGAGAAAAGCAGAAGUGAAAAACAACAGGGGAUGGCUGUUAUUGCAGUCAUUAUCGCUGCUGGCUACUCAAAGCUCAGUGAGUACCACAGUUUGUUUAAACAAUUUCCAACUUACCGUGGUCCCAUUAUCAUGUUUGUUCCUGUUCCACCUGUAAAACCACCUCAAAGGUUGGUCAGUAAACUGC
rnacentral:lncRNA from 1 species